ACGGCAGACGAUCGCAACAGGCUGGGGCCUGUCGAGAAAAACGCCUCAGCCCCCGCCCGUCGAAAUGCCUCUCCAACAAGAGGCGACGGGCGGGGUCCGAGGGA
rnacentral:sRNA from 1 species